GAAAUGCGAUAAGUAAUGUGAAUUGCAGAAUUCAGUGAAUCAUCGAAUCUUUGAACGCACAUUGCGCCCGUCAGCAUUCUGGCGGGCAUGCCUGUUCGAGCGUCAUUUCAACCCUCAGGACCCCCCUUUCGCGGGGAGGGACCUGGCGUUGGGGAUCGGCCCGCCCCCCGCGGCGGCGCCGUCCCCGAAAUCUAGUGGCGGUCUCGCUGCAGCCUCCCCUGCGUAGUAGUUACAACCUCGCAUCGGAGCGCGGCGCGGCCACGCCGUAAAACCCCCGACUUUCUGAACGUUGACCUCGGAUCAGGUAGGAAUACCCGCCGAACUUAAGC
rnacentral:misc_RNA from 1 species